UACGGGGGGAGCAAGCGUUGUUCGGGAUUUACUGGGGCGUAAAGGGGCGCGUAGGCGGCCACCGCAAGUCGACUGUGAAAUCUCCGGGGCUUAACUCGGAAAGGUCAGCCGGAUACUGCGGGGGCUAGAGUGCAGAAGGGGGCAACUGGAAUUCUCGGUGUAGCGGUGAAAUGCGUAGAUAUCGGAGAGGAACACCUGCGGCGAAGGCGGGGUUGCUGGGGCUGACACUGACGCUGAUUGUGCGAAAGCUAGGGGGAGCGAACGGGG
rnacentral:rRNA from 1 species